rnacentral:SRP_RNA from 1 species
GCCUUGCACAGUGGCGCAUGCCUGUAGUCCCAGCUACUCGGGAGGCUGAGGUGGGAUGAUUGCUUGAGCCCAGGAAUUCUAGGAUGUAGCACAGUGUACAGAUCGGGUGUGUGCACUAAGGUCAGGGUCAAUGUGGUGACCUCCCGGGAACAGGGGCCACCAGGUUGCCCAAGGAGGGGUGAACCAGCCCAGAGCAUAAACAGAGCAGGUCAAAACAAUCAGUAGUGGGAUCGAGUCUGUGAAUAACCGCUGUACUCCAGCCUGGGGAACAUAAACGAGACCCCUGUCUCU